GCAUCGAUGAAGAACGCAGCAAAAUGCGAUAAGUAAUGUGAAUUGCAGAAUUCAGUGAAUCAUCGAAUCUUUGAACGCACAUUGCGCCCGCCAGUAUUCUGGCGGGCAUGCCUGUUCGAGCGUCAUUUCAACCCUCAAGCUCAGCUUGGUGUUGGGACUCGCGGUAACCCGCGUUCCCCAAAUCGAUUGGCGGUCACGUCGAGCUUCCAUAGCGUAGUAAUCAUACACCUCGUUACUGGUAAUCGUCGCGGCCACGCCGUAAAACCCCAACUUCUGAAUGUUGACCUCGGAUCAGGUAGGAAUACCCGCUGAACUUAAGCAUAUCAAAAGUCGGAGGAA
rnacentral:rRNA from 1 species